UUUCCACUGGAGGCCUUGAUGAGGGACCCACAUAAAUUCACCCGAGGACACUUUUUGCCUCUUCAAUGUUCUGCUCUCCCUGUAGGUGUUGGCUUGCUCCUCAGGUGCUGUAGUUCCCCUCAGGGUUGCAAGAUGGUUGCUGAAAUUUCAAACAUCUCAUCCAGCUGUGCUAUGCCUGAAGGCUGAAGAGGAGCCCUUGCUUUCUGGCUAUCUCAAGCUCCAGCUUUUAGAGGAGAUAGCGUCUCAUGCCUUGGACUUCUCCCAAGUUGAUGGAACGACACAG